rnacentral:lncRNA from 1 species
CAAGGUGCGCUGAUGUCCCUCUUGCCGGGAACAGGGAAUGCCUAGGUGGUCUUGCACAUCAGAUUUUGAGGAGAAAGGGAAAAUGGGGCUCAGGGCUUUGAGAGACUUGUUAUAAAACACAGAAUUAUUUAGACUAACUAUAUUGUCAAAUAUAAACAAUUGGCCUUGCAGUGAGAAUGUGCUGAUGAUCGUGUAGUCCUGUAUUUAAUGACAUCCCAAGGACUGCCUGCCCCACUAUGAGAAUAGAAAAAAUAAUUCAACAAACAGCAAGAAACUUUUGCAUACAACCCAGCAUAUAUAUAAAUAGAGGCCAACUUACUGGAGUCAAAGUGUACAAGUGGAUACUUCAAACAGUCGAUCUCCUUUGUUUUCAGAGGUCAGAGCAGACUGGACACAGACUUGUUGUAGAGACAGCCUCCCUUAUUGAGAGAUUGCAUAAGGUGUGCUCAAGAAGGAAAGGUCAGCCACCAAAUGGAGCAGGAAUCUCUUAGCAACCUGGCAGAGAGCUUGCUGUGUUCUCAGCUUCCAGAAAUGUGUGUUCCCACAGGUCUUUGUCUCUUUGUGUCCCAGUGGUGGCACCUGAGCAAGAUCAGAUGCUCUUCUUAGGGACAGGAAGUCUCCCUGGCAAACUGCCUGUCCAUGUAUGGCUGAAAUGAUCUUGGGACUUCUUGGGGUAUAGAAGUGUCUCAUCAGAAGGAGUUGUGUGGACCACACCUUGCUGUCUUGUAAGCACAGGAUGAUCUUGGACUUGGAGUUCCCCUGGCAGCCUUUCAGACAGCAUGUAAGGGUUCCUGAACCACCAUGACUCUCCCUAAUGAUGCUUCCAGCAUUUGUGAUGCUUUAGAUGUCUGUGGAUAAACAAUAUGAACUGUAGAGGGAUGUUGUCCUGUAUUAUGUCAGGACAAUAUAGAUACAGCAUGUUUUACAGCUUCCAGCGAGAGCAGGGAGGAAGCAGCUGAUGAAGCUGAGGAAAAGCUGCAGUAGCUGAGAGCAAACCACUUUAACUGGUGGUGAGGAACCAUUCGUCUUCUCCUAGCGCUGUGAGCAGGAAAAAAAGGAUCUCCGAUUUCAAGAUUAGUGACAAAUUUGUGUGAGUUGGCAAUUCUUCGAAAAUGAAAUUUAUUAAACUUGAAAUAAAGCGUUCACCCCUGAAUGAACA